GAAGUGGUAGUUCAGUGGUAAAAUUCUUGCCUUCCAUGUAGGAGACCUGGGUUUGAUUCCUGGUCAAUGCA
rnacentral:tRNA from 1 species